rnacentral:sRNA from 1 species
AAAGGCCUCUUCUUCUAGUCGUCUCCCUCCCUGCUCCUCCUUCCAUUGCCUCCGGCCUCUCCAAUGGCGAACCCGGCGGCCGCACCCACGAAUGACUAGCCCUGUCAUUGCCUAGUCUCGGCCAAUGUAGGUGUAAGAGGGUGCGGCCGCCGCCGCCGCCGCCACCAAAGGCAGACAGGAUGGAGCCAGGCGUUACUUGUAGUUGUACUACUGUCUACUACCAACGAUGAGAGGAUGCGAAGGGAGAUCGAGAAGAAGGCUACGUGCGUGUGUGCGUUCGUACCGUAUAUACAAGGCGUAUAGGUACGGCCGGAGGCGGCGGAGUAUUGUACGGAUCUAAAAGGUUCUUUGCUUGCCACCGCUCUCCGGGUCAUUGGUGAUGUUUUCAGUUAAUUUUCCUUUUCAGUAGUUUAUAUAUUGUUGGGUGGAGGAUAUCUUUGAGCAAAGUCCUCUGAAUUUUGAACCAUUUUGCUAGUAUUAUUUUUGUUCCUUCUUCGAGUUUUGGUUUUACGGAGAGAUUUUUAUGCCCCUGACUCUUCUCGUGUAAGUUUGCGAGCAGCGCUUGACUGCUGUUGUGGCUCGAGUAGUUUUAAGUCUAUAUAUUGGGUUCUCCAUGCUAAGCUUGAACUGCAUCAAAAGGUUUAUGCAAUUAUGCUAAACUUCUAGCAUAUGCUAAUUAAUUCUUUCC